GCAGGGUUCGCGUUAAAAACCUCAUCUCCGCUCUCAUCUGCGGGAAAACUAAUUUGGAUAAUUCUGUCCUCAAUCUUGCCGACAGUGGAAUGCUCCUCUCCACAACAGCAGGUUCAAUGCAAUCUCAACAGCAAAGCAACACGCUGACUGGCAACAUCCAUCUCCAGGGCACGACUCCGACCCCGCGCAGAAAGGAUGCGUGAACCUCUCGCCACCCCAGGAGAACUACAUAUGACGUGACUUUUAAGAAGUGUUCGUGCUCACUCCCCGUCUUUCUGCUUUAACCGCACCAAGCGGGAACCUCCCUGUGAAACACUCGGGGAGGAACAGCCUGGAAAGCAGGAGCAAAGCACGGCUUCGCUCUUCCAGGGGCA